rnacentral:rRNA from 1 species
GAUGAACGCUGGCGGCGUGCCUAAUACAUGCAAGUCGAGCGAACAGACGAGGAGCUUGCUCCUCUGACGUUAGCGGCGGACGGGUGAGUAACACGUGGAUAACCUACCUAUAAGACUGGGAUAACUUCGGGAAACCGGAGCUAAUACCGGAUAAUAUAUUGAACCGCAUGGUUCGAUAGUGAAAGACGGUUUUGCUGUCACUUAUAGAUGGAUCCGCGCCGCAUUAGCUAGUUGGUAAGGUAACGGCUUACCAAGGCAACGAUGCGUAGCCGACCUGAGAGGGUGAUCGGCCACACUGGAACUGAGACACGGUCCAGACUCCUACGGGAGGCAGCAGUAGGGAAUCUUCCGCAAUGGGCGAAAGCCUGACGGAGCAACGCCGCGUGAGUGAUGAAGGUCUUCGGAUCGUAAAACUCUGUUAUUAGGGAAGAACAAAUGUGUAAGUAACUAUGCACGUCUUGACGGUACCUAAUCAGAAAGCCACGGCUAACUACGU